GAUGAACGCUGGCGGCGUGCCUAAUACAUGCAAGUCGAGCGAACAGACGAGGAGCUUGCUCCUCUGACGUUAGCGGCGGACGGGUGAGUAACACGUGGAUAACCUACCUAUAAGACUGGGAUAACUUCGGGAAACCGGAGCUAAUACCGGAUAAUAUAUUGAACCGCAUGGUUCAAUAGUGAAAGACGGUUUUGCUGUCACUUAUAGAUGGAUCCGCGCCGCAUUAUCUAGUUGGUAAGGUAACGGCUUACCAAGGCAACGAUGCGUAGCCGACCUGAGAGGGUGAUCGGCCACACUAGAACUGAGACGCGGUCCAGGCGCCUACGGGAGGCAGCAGUAGGGAAUCUUCCGCAAUGGGCGAAAGCCUGACGGAGCAACGCAGCGUGAGUGAUGAAGGUCUUCGGAUCGUAAAACUCUGUGAUUAGGGAAGAACAAAUGUGUAAGUAACUAUGCACGUCUUGACGGUACCUAAUCAGAAAGCCACGGCUAACUACGUG
rnacentral:rRNA from 1 species